UCAGUUUGGUAACUGCUAUUGGAGUGGGAGAGGAGAGCACGUUAAUAUUAGGGGGAGAACUGCCAUUUGUGAGGGGUUCUCAUUUUCUCUCUGUAAACAGAUAGACAAAAAACUCACACAAAUAUUUUCAAGGAGGAUUGAAAUUGUCUCAUAGUUCUAGUUUUUUUUUAAGAACCUAGAAUUGUAGCAAAGCGGAAAACCAAAAGGAUAGCCAACAGCAUCUAGAGUCAGAAACCAGAGGACAACAGUGAUAGAAAAGACAAAACUGAGGCAUAACAUAAACAGGUACGCAAUUUCUAUCUAUGGGAAAUAUGAAUUUCAUGAGAAAAGUAGAAUAUUCUGAAUUCAUAUGAAGUAAUUAAUAAGCCAUUAAAAACAAAGACAGUAGAAAUAGAAAGGCUGGGUUUAAAGAAAUUGAAAUGGAGAAGAAUUAGGGGAGACCGCCGGUGAACAGAAUAGCGAUGGUGGUUUUUUUUUUUUUGUUUUUUUUAGUAUUUACAACGAUGAUGCUUUCGUUCGUCUCCGGUGAGACUGUGGUAUUUUUGAUCGAUGGUUUUUAUUCCUCUGCUUGUGCGUUUGAGAGGAGAACACGUGAAGCCCUAGUGUGAAACUGAAAAAGGGAGAGGAAGUAGUUGCCAGUGCCGCCGCAGCCGCAGGUGGUGAUGCGACGAGGGUGGCCGGCGCCGUCUGUGGCAACGUAGGCGGUCUUGUGGUCUUGUGAACGUCAGCCUGCAAUGUAAUGGUGAAGGAGAAAAGAUGGAACCCUAACACUAGAAGAAGAGCGGCGCUGACGGCGAGGGUUCCGGCUGCGAGAAUGGUGACGCCGCUGUUGGCCAAACGGAGGAGAUGCGAACAUAAGGCCAUGCCGUGGUGCUCCGCGCGACUGAGGGAUGCGAGCAGGAGAACAGCAUCGCCGCUGUUGGUGAUGAUGCGACGGACCUCCGAUGCCGAUCGACGCCGUCGCCGGCGGCCCUGGCAGUGAGUGACACGUUGAUGUUCCUGGUUAGCAGCGUGAGGUGGAAGAUCAAGUUGGUGAAAUUUUUUUACGGUACUCUUUGAAAAAGUUGAAGCAGUCCACCUCCUCCACCUACCCUGAUCAAAUGCAUGCUUUAGGAUUGGAAGAAAGGACCACUAAAAUAUUGACUUUUGGGGUCCCAAAAGAGGGAUAAGACCCAAAGAGAAAAGUUAACCCUUCAAGCUAAAAAGAAGAAAAGAAAAACUAUGAUUAUGGUUCUGUGUGUGAGUGACAGUGGGAUUGGUGAGUAUCCUAGGCACGCAGGCAAAGUCUUAGAACAAAGGAAUCAUUUUAAGACAAACAAAACCAAAUAAUUUAGCAUGUUAUUAUGGCUCAUUCACUAGCUCAGUGUCUUUUUGUAGUGUGAUCAAACGUUCUUUUCUUUUGUUCGGGUAACAUGUCAGAACUUUUUCUUCUUCCAUAUCUUAAUUGUGAUGGAUCUUGCGAGAAAAUUGGAGAGCUAUUUGGUGUUUCAUGAGAAAAUAUGAAACUCAAGAACAACAUUGAGAAUAAAUUUCACUUCUUUCUUGAUAUGGCUUUUCCUUAUGCCAUUUUAACUACCCUUAUCACCUUGAUUUGUUUAACUUGGUGCUUCUGCUGAUGAUGCCAAUAAGCCAUAGCAAUCCCUUUGUUUCCAGCUGAAACAAGGAUAAUAGUUCUUGACCCAUUUAGCUGAAAUUCUUCAACUAUUUCCGUUGAAGAGAAUGCUCAAAGCCUCUCUGCAGAUAAUACCAGAAAAAUUAUGAUAUCACUUUUACAUGAAAAAUAUGCAUACUUUUGUUCUGUACAUCUCAAACAAGUGCAACUUAAAUACAGAGAGCCAUAGCAAAAUUGACAGAGAAGUAAAAACUGGUGUCACUUUAGACCCAACAGGGUUCGUGGUGUUUCAUGCUAUGUGAAGACCGCUGAAGAAGAUGUCAUUGGCCUCAACGAGUUUUGGAUCUUUGCAUGCCAACCCGUUCACCAACACUGCCAUAAUAUUCAUCAAAAACCAUGGUGAACAUAAACUUUAAAGUAAUAUUAUUACAUCUAACUAUCAUAAAAGAAAAUAAUCAUAAAAAAAUAACUUUUGUAUCUGCUAUAUAUACCUUUCUCUUGUGGGUCUGCCACACAGAAAUCUUGGAAUGUACUGGUAGCAGCUGCUAGAAUAACUGAAAGUGAAAGAGCCAAAACUGUCAGAAAAAAUGAGGGAAUAGCCAUUUGAGAAUAGCACAAAAGCACUAUACUCGUCGAGCUCCACUUUGACGGCGAGGAGUGGUUGGUGCUGCUCCGGGUAACCGCGACGCGAAGAAAGGAGGGGGAGGCGAGCAGCGUUGCCACGACGUGAAGAAAGGAGGGGCAGAAGCUAACACCACUAAGAGUGAUAAGUGGCGGUGAAGGAAUUGCACCUAUGGCUCAACCUCAAUUUCACAAAAUUGAGAAACGGAUCUCAAGAUCCGUUUUAGCUUCUUUAUUUUUUAGUUUUUUCUUUAAACGGAUUUUGCAGAUCCGUUUCACAAAAACCAAAAACGGAUUUCAAUUUUCGUUUUGUUGUUUUGUUGUUUUUAAUGAGUGUGUGUUUUCACUGAAAUGGAUGUUGAAAUCCGUUUCAGAGAAGUGUGAAACGAAUCUUAAAAUCCGUUUCAUUAAAUUUUCAAAAAUAUUUAGUGAAACGGAUGUCGAAAUCCGUUUCACACUUCUCUGAAACGGUUUUGGACAUCCGUUUGGUAAAAAAAGCCAUAUAAAACAGAAACGGAUGCUGAAAUCCGUUUCAGAGAAGUAUGAAACGGAUCUCAAAAUCUGUUUCAUUAAAAAAUUUAAUGAAACGAAUUUUGAAAUCCGUUUCAUACUUCUCUGAAACAGAUUUCAACAUCCGUUUCAUUAAAAAACCCAGAAAAUGAAUAAAUCUGUUUCGCAUUGUAUUGAACAUCAGUCAUCAUCACAAAAUGAAAUAUAACUCCAUACAACAGAGAAAGAUUCCAAAAGACCAUUAAUAAAAAACGAAUACUAAUCUGGAACGUGCAAAGAACGAGGAAAGCUUUAAAAAAUUUGAACCAUGUGUGGAUGACCUUGGAGAGUUUGGAGCACCUGAAGCAGGACCCAGUUCACACAGAAUGAAACCAAGGACCACUACCACUGCAAAAGAACUUUCAAAUGAAAAUGAAAGAGAGAAAGUUGGGACCACUGCUCUGAGAAUAAUAAUGAGACCGGA